UCGAAAGUAAAUGAGUAAAUCUCUUACAUAAUGUAAGUUAUGUAGUGAAAUUAGCAUCAACAUAGUGCUUUAGCUUUAGCAGUGAUAUUUUCGAAAAAUAUAAUGGUCACAGAAUACAAGACCGCAGUUGUUCGUUGCUACGCCGUUAUUGAAAUACUUAUAAUUACAAGAAACCCCACGACUGGGACCAACAGUUAUGUGGAUCCCUCCCACUCUUCCAGUUUCAAGCAAUUAUUGAGAAUUUACGAUGUAUUCCACAAAGAAAAACUGGU